GAAUUUUAUAUUAUUUAAUUUAUUUUAAAAAUUGAAUAGUAUUUUAUUGGGAGGAUAAUUAAAUUUAAUUAACUUUAAAAAUUUAAAACAUUAAUUAAUGGAUAAAUAAAAGAUUAAAAAUAAAUUAUUUAAGAAUUAAUUACCUUAGGGAUAACAGCAUAAUUUUAUUUUUUAGUUCAUAUAUAAAAUAAAGUUUAU
rnacentral:rRNA from 1 species